rnacentral:rRNA from 1 species
CUCAAAUGAAUUGACGGGGCCCGCACAAGCGGUGGAGCAUGUGGUUUAAUUCGAAGCAACGCGAAGAACCUUACCAGGUCUUGACAUCCCCUGACAACCCGAGAGAUCGGGCGUUCCCCCUUCGGGGGACAGGGUGACAGGUGGUGCAUGGUUGUCGUCAGCUCGUGUCGUGAGAUGUUGGGUUAAGUCCCGCAACGAGCGCAACCCUCGACCUUAGUUGCCAGCAUUCAGUUGGGCACUCUAAGGUGACUGCCGGCUAAAAGUCGGAGGAAGGUGGGGAUGACGUCAAAUCAUCAUGCCCCUUAUGACCUGGGCUACACACGUGCUACAAUGGGCGGUACAAAGGGUCGCGAACCCGCGAGGGGGAGCCAAUCCCAAAAAGCCGCUCUCAGUUCGGAUUGCAGGCUGCAACUCGCCUGCAUGAAGCCGGAAUCGCUAGUAAUCGCGGAUCAGCAUCGCCGCCCGGUAAUACGUUCCGGGCCUU